rnacentral:rRNA from 1 species
CACGUAGGGAGCAAGCGUUGUCCGGAUUUAUUGGGCGUAAAGAGCUCGUAGGUGGUUCCAUAAGUCAGGUGUGAAACCUCCAGGCUCAACCUGGAGACGCCACCUGAUACUGCGGUGACUGGAGUCCGGUAGGGGAGCGUGGAAUUCCUGGUGUAGCGGUGAAAUGCGCAGAUAUCUGGAGGAAUACCGGUGGCGAAGGCGGCAUCCUGGACCGGCAUUGACGCUGAGGAGCGAAAGCCAGGGGAGCAAACGGG